AUGGCUCAGAUUGAACGCUGGCGGCGUGCUUAACACAUGCAAGUCGAACGCGAAAGGGACUUCGGUCCUGAGUAAAGUGGCGCACGGGUGAGUAACGCGUGGAUAAUCUGCCCUUAUGAUCGGGAUAACAGUUGGAAACGGCUGCUAAUACCGGAUACGCUCAAAAUGAACUUUUUGAGGAAAGAUGGCCUCUGCUUGCAUGCUAUCACGUAAGGAUGAGUCCGCGUCCCAUUAGCUUGUUGGCGGGGUAACGGCCCACCAAGGCAACGAUGGGUAGCCGAUUUGAGAGGAUGAUCGGCCACACUGGAACUGAAACACGGUCCAGACUCCUACGGGAGGCAGCAGUAAGGAAUAUUGGGCAAUGGAGGCAACUCUGACCCAGCCAUGCCGCCGUGCAGGAAGACGGCCCUAUGGGUUGUAAACUGCUUUUAAUAGGGAUUAAAGUCGACUACGUGUAGUUGUUUGCAAGUACCUAUAGAAUAAGCAUCGGCUAACUCCGUGCCAGCCGCAGC
rnacentral:rRNA from 1 species